UAUACACACAUCAUCAUCGACUUUACUUAUAGAAAAUAUCAUUACACCAAAACCAAUUUGUAAAUAGUGUUAGAGAAAGUAGAAAAGCAUAGAGAGAGAGAGAGAGAGAGAGAGAUAACAUGAAUGGUAGAACUAGAAAAUUACUUCCAUUUAUGGGAAUGAUUGUUGCUGUUUUAACUCAAAGUGGGAGCAUGGUGGUAAUUAAAGUUGCCAUGAAAGAUGGAAUGAAUAAAUAUGUAAUGGUUGUUUAUUCCAUGGCACUUUCCAGUAUCAUGCUUCUUCCCUUAGCCUUCUUUAUCCACAGAACAGACCGCCCUCCUCUCACCUUCUCUUCACUUUGCAGCUUCUUUUUGCUUGCUCUUUUCGGAACUUCAGGACAGAUAAUGACUUAUGCUGGCAUUGAACUAAGCUCAGCUACACUUGCUUCAGCAAUGCUUAACCUCAUUCCAGCUUUCACUUUCGUAAUUGCUCUUAUUUUCAGGAUGGAAAUAUUAAAUUGGAGACAUUGUAGUAGUCAAGCUAAAGUGAUAGGAACAAUAGUAUCAAUGGCUGGAGCAUUUGUUGUGAUAUUCUACAAGGGUCCACCAAUAUUCAAGAUACAUUCUUCAAAUUCAUUCAACACACUUCAAUUUUCACCACAAUUGAAUUGGAUCAUGGGUGGGUUGUUAUGUGCUGGUGAUUCUUUAUUUUCUGCCAUAUGGUACAUAUAUCAGGUUUCAGUAACAAAGAAAUACCCUGCUGUAAUAGUGAUAGUGUUCUUCCAAGUGUUUUUUAUUGCAAUUCAAUCAGGAGUAUUUGCCUUAAUUGUGGUUAGAGAUCCAAGUGCAUGGGAACUAAAGCUUGAUAUGAGGUUGAUUGUCAUUUUCUACCAGGCAAUAGCUGCAAUAGGAAUUCGUUACUUGCUACAAACAUGGUGUGUACAAAGAGCUGGUCCUCUGUUUUGUGCUAUGUUCAAGCCGGUCGGAAUCAUCUUCACUGUUAUUAUGGGUUCAAUUUUUCUUGGAGAGGUUUUCAAUCUUGGAAGUUUGAUUGGUGCUGUUAUAAUCGUCGUAGGAUUUUAUGCCGUGCAAUGGGGCAAAGCUUCAGAACAAAAAUCUCAUAACUUCGACACGUCUUCUAAUGUUGUUCCACUAUUACAAAACAAGGCGUAAUCAUUUAUACAUACCAUACUAUACACACAUUCAACACUUUAUAUAGUGAGGCAAAAAAUAAAAAUAAUAACAGGGGAGGAGUGCAUCUUGUUGCAAAACAGGGGAGUCAGUAAGGAGGGAACUCAAAAAGGAAGUAGAUGUGCAGAGCAGAAGAGAAAAACUUUUUUUUUUUUGUUAUUUUAUUUUUUGUGAUAAAUAUAAUGUAAUUGGGAAUUUAUAUAGACUUAAAAUUGUAUCAAAUUUAUAAAAUGACUAUUUCUUAAAGUUAAUAAUAUCCCUUUUAAUUU